rnacentral:rRNA from 1 species
AAAACAUGGCCUUUAGAGUAUAAUUUAAGGUCUGGCCUGCCCAAUGAAUUUUUAAAUGGCCGCGGUAUUUUGACCGUGCAAAGGUAGCAUAAUCAUUAGUUUUUUAAUUGAAAGCUAGAAUGAAAGGUUGGAUGAAAAAAUGACUGUCUCUAUUUAAAUUUGUUAGAAUUUUAUUUUUAAGUAAAAAAGCUUAAAUAAGAAUAGAAGACGAGAAGACCCUAUAGAGUUUUAUUGAUUUAAAUUAUAAAAUUUUUAGUAUUUAAUAUUUUUUUAAUUUAAAUUAAUUGAGUUGGGGUGAUUAAAAAAUUUAUGAAACUUUUUUUUUAUUUGAACAUUAAUUUAUGAUUAUUUGAUCCUUUUUUUAAGAUUAAAAGAUUAAAUUACCUUAGGGAUAACAGCGUAAUUCUCUUANAGAGUUCAAAUCGAAAGGAGGGAUUGCGACCUCGAUGUUGGAUUAAAAUAAAAUUUUGGUGUANAAGCUAAGAUAUUUAGGUCUGUUCGACCUUUAAAAUUUUACUUGAUCUGAGUUCAAACCGGAGA